GGAGAAGAUGGCGGCCGGUACCUGGGGAAAAGAUGCGGUGGGGACCGCCAAUCAUCGGUGGCAUCAGCGGAGAUCAGCGGCAGAGGAUUCUGCUGUCCCAGCAAAAUUUCUGCAUUCUGCAAAAAUGGAAGAUUUGUGGGGGUUCCUACGCCCCUGCGGACGGAGGUCCCCUCACCUGCCUCUGGCCGUCUCCUGGAAUGAAUAUUCAUUGCU